GUCUCUUUCUCAGCUGUUAGUGGCUGGUUGCCAGUGCCAAGAGCACUUGGGGGUACAGAAAUUACAGACUUUUCACAGCAGGAAUUCCGUUGUUGUUGGAACUAAUGUAGUAGGGAGAUUCUGACACAGUAGGAAAUUAGGUUAUAAAACCAAAAGAUCCCUCCAAGUUUAGGAUGUAGGGAUACAUUGAAUGCCACUUGUCCAAGGGGACAAGCAGGGAGGGAACUUAUGUUGGGUUGACCAAAACAUUUGUUUGGAUUUUUCCAUAAAAUGCUACGGAAGAACCUGAAUGAUCAUUUUUGCCAAACCAAUAUGUUCUUUGUUGUAUAGUGCUUUACUGCUCAUAUGUAACUCUUACCAAUGCUUGAUUCUCAUAGGUCACCUCGGAGAAGAAAACGAAAUGAUUGUCCCUUUUUAGAACUGAGGAAAGGCAGGCCUGCCAAGUGCUCAUUAACCAGAUCAACCAUCCAGUCUCCUGACUGGAGCAUCAAACUCUGGCUGCUGACCUUCUGGAGUUGCUGACGGGGAGAUCAGUGUUCUCAACAUUCCAUUCCAGAGCAAGUUUCCCCAAUUUGUCACCGAGUGCUAACUAAUUAAGGAGUUGUCACUUU
ensembl:lncRNA